ACACAAACAAGAAACUACACGUUGGUGAAUAGCAUGCAGUAACUCAAUAGGAAGAGUCAUUCGACUAACGGUCACUGCAAGAGAAACCGUGAAUGAGAGUGCACGCGUUUUUUGUUUACAAACGGAAAACUGUUUUAGCGCUCCGUUGAUCUAAUUUUGUGCAAGGACAACCAUCGUUAUUUUAAGAUAAUACCAUGGUACGUACUUACAAGAAAAAAACAAAAAGAGGAGAGUGGUCGAGAGAUGCUAUGAAAACAGCCAUAGAUAAAGUGACAUCGUCAGAACCCUGGGUAGGCUGCCAGAUCUGUGGAUGUUGACCUUACAAUGCUUGUGCUGGGGUGUACAAUGAAGAUCUGUAGCAAAUACACAUUUUUGUUUGUUUUGUGAGAAUUAAUUAGCACCACCAUCAUGCCUUAAUUCCAUUACCCUAUCAUACCCCAUAGUAUGAGGCAAGAUGGUUUUUCAUAAUGUUCUUAUCAAUGGCUAAUUGUUGAAAAAUGUGAUAGGUUGAUUUUCCAAAGAUUGUACCAAAUCAUAGUUAGAUUAAUGACGUAACGCGCCAUCAAUUAGUAAUAGUAAUAAACGUAGUAAUUAUGUUGUA
rnacentral:lncRNA from 1 species